rnacentral:ncRNA from 1 species
GAUAACAAACUGAUCUUCCCUAGGAGCUCACAUCAAAAGGAAGGUUUGACAUCUCGAUGUCGGCUAUUCUCCACCUGGGGCUGUAGUAUGUUGCUAGGGUUGGGCUAUUCCCCCAUUACAGUGGUACGUGAGAUGGGUUCAAAACGUCCUGAGACAGUUU